CGGGAAAUAGCUCAGCUUGGUAGAGCACUUGGUUUGGGACCAAGGGGUCGCGGGUUCGAAUCCUGUUUUCCCGACUA
rnacentral:tRNA from 1 species